AUUGAACGCUGGCGGCAUGCCUUACACAUGCAAGUCGAACGGCAGCGCGGGCUUCUGCCUGGCGGCGUGUGGCCAACGGGUGAGUAAUUCACCGGAACGUGCCCAGCAGUUGGGGCUAGCCCAGCGAAAGCCGGCUUAAUACCGCAUACGACCUUAUGUUGAACGCCGUGGAUCGAAAGUCCACGCGCUACUUGAUCGGCCGUAGCCGUAGUAGCUAGUUGGUGAGGUAAAGGGUUACCAAGGCGACGAUCCGUAGCCGACCUGCGAGGGUGACCGGCCACACUGGAACUGAGACACGGCCCAGACUCCUACGGGAGGCAGCAGUAGGGAAUCUUGCGCAAUGGGCGAAAGCCUGACGGAGCAACGCCGCGUGAGUGAUGAAGGUCUUCGGAUCGUAAAACUCUGUUAUUAGGGAAGAACAUAUGUGUAAGUAACUGUGCACAGCUUGACGGUACCUAAUAAGAAAGCCACGGCUAACUACGUG
rnacentral:rRNA from 1 species